UACGUAGGGUGCAAGCGUUGUCCGGAAUUAUUGGGCGUAAAGAGCUUGUAGGCGGUUUGUCGCGUCUGCUGUGAAAAUCCGGGGCUCAACCCCGGACUUGCAGUGGGUACGGGCAGACUAGAGUGUGGUAGGGGAGACUGGAAUCCUGGUGUAGCGGUGAAAUGCGCAGAUAUCAGGAGGAACACCGAUGGCGAAGGCAGGUCUCUGGGCCACUACUGACGCUGAGAAGCGAAAGCAUGGGGAGCGAACAGG
rnacentral:rRNA from 1 species